rnacentral:tRNA from 1 species
GCCCAACUGGUUCAGUUGGUGGAGUGUGUGAUUCUUGAUCUCGGGGCUGUUGGUUCGAGCCCCAUGUUGGGUG